CGACGGGAUUUUUCCUGGCAGGAGCUACUCCUCCCUGAUGAAGGCAGAGAACAUGUCCUCCAACCAGGAUGGCAACGACUCCGACGACUUCAUGUGAGCGGAGCCGCUCCCGCCCGGCCCCGCCGCUCCAAUGCCAAAAAAAACACAUCCCAAAAAAACCGGCCUGGGAGCCCCUUCCCUCCCGGCUCCGGGCCAGGGACACCCUCUGGAAGGAGCAGCCGGAUCCCUGGGAUGGCCUCCAGCCCCCCGUGGUUUUCCCAAAGACAGUGGUAUUUAUUUUGGGGAAGGGAUCCCGGGGGCUGGGCCGUGGCCCCGGGGCCCUGCUGGAGCUGCUGCUGCCUCUGGAAUUCCGCUCUUCCCGCUGGGAAUCGCCGGGAAAACCGGAGGGGGGGGAUCCCUCCGUGACAAAGGGAGGGGUGGGAAAAAUCGGGAUGAGCUCGGUGGUGGCUCCUGGAUAAACCUGGUGGUGGAGAUCCAGCUCUGAUUCCCGCCCCCGAACCCCCUGGAAUUCCAAUGUGUUCCCGCUUGGAAUCCUCCUCUGGAGGGAGGGGUGGAAGGAGGAGGUUGAGUUUUCCACAGGAUUCACCAGGUGGAUCCUCCCACCUGGGCAUUCCAUGGGGUUUGUGGGGGGGAAUCCCUGGAUAAUCCCGGUGUACAUAUCCCCAUUAAACUGGUGCCAUGCAGGCGACA